ACGUUAAGAGUUAUUCUUCAUAUUCUUGGAAAUGUAAAGAAAGAUGAGAAAAAAUGUCCACCGGUGAUGAAGUUUUAUUAAUAGGACCUAUGGGGAUGUGAAAUGACAGGGGGACAUUUUUUGUGCACCUGAUCACUGCACAAAUAUUCUCUGUUCCAAUGUGUCUGAAUUUGAUGCAUAAGAUGGCAUCAUAAAGAACUGACAAGGUAAUGCAGCACUAUUAGAAUAAUGGUCAAAGCUAAGUGAGUAAACUUUUCAGGGUUUACCUAGUAUUUAGAUAUUUUAAAGAAAUAAGAUUGGAUUACACUCUACUGCCAUCUUCCAAUAUAGGGUGCCCCUUUUGGACUAAGUUGGUCUCCAGUCAGCUCAAAGGUGGUUGGCCUCCCUCAUGCUCCUCUUCAUUGUUUUUAGCUAUGCCCUGAUCCUUGAUACAAUCAGCUGUGACUAGGUUUCAAUCAAGGCAUAUGACACAAACCAUGGUAAAAAAUGAAAUGAAGAUGUGCUUCCGGUCACCCGCAGGCACUCUGAAGUACGAUAGCCUGACUAGCACACAGACCUAUAGCUGUGUAUUACUUUUUAAUAAAUGACCCAUGGUAACAAAUGACCACAAACCGUGGAUUAGAACAACAGAAAUUUAUUCUCUUACAGGUCUGGAGGUCUGGAAGUCCAAAAUCAAGGUGUCAACAGGGCCAUGCUCUCUCCAGUGACUCUGAAGAAAGACUUUCUUGACUCUUCCUAGCUGCUGCUGUUUCUUCUCCUUCUCCUUCUCCUUCUUCUUCUUUAGAAACAAGGUCUCUUUCUGUCACCCAGGCUGGAGUGCACUUACGUGAUCAUAGCUCACUGCACCUUCUAACUCCUGGGCUCAAGUGAUCCUCCCACCUCAAUCUCCUGAGUAACUGGGACUACAGGCACACAAGCCACCACACCUAGCUAAGUUUUUAAUUUUUUUUUUUUUGUAGAGACGAGGACUUACCUUCUUGCCCAGGCUGGUCUUGAGCCCCUGGGCUCAAACCAUCCUCUUACCUCGGCCUCCCAAAGUGCUGGGAUUAGGUGUGAGCCACCGUACCUGGCCUCUUCCUAGCUUCUGGGGGCUCAUGGAGACCCUUGGCAUUCGUUGGAUUGUAUAACUGCAUCACACCAAUCUCAGCCACCAUCUUCCCGUAGCCCUCUUCUUAGUGACUAUGUGUGUCCUCUCCUCCUCUUAUAAGAACAUGUCAUUGGGUUUGGGACCCACCCUCAUCCAGUAUGAUCUCAUCUCAAUCUUAAACCAAUUACAUCUGCAAAUAAC
rnacentral:lncRNA from 10 species